rnacentral:tRNA from 1 species
GGCUGAAAAAGCAUUAAGUUGUAGCCUUAAUCAUGGUUAAUACCUUUAUGUAAGUCUUAUAGU